rnacentral:rRNA from 1 species
AGUGAACGCUGGCGGUAGGCCUAACACAUGCAAGUCGAACGGCAGCACAGUAAGAGCUUGCUCUUACGGGUGGCGAGUGGCGGACGGGUGAGGAAUACAUCGGAAUCUACUUUUUCGUGGGGGAUAACGUAGGGAAACUUACGCUAAUACCGCAUACGCCCUACGGGUGAAAGCAGGGGAUCUUCGGACCUUGCGCGAUUGAAUGAGCCGAUGUCGGAUUAGCUAGUUGGCGGGGUAAAGGCCCACCAAGGCGACGAUCCGUAGCUGGUCUGAGAGGACGAUCGGCCACACUGGAACUGAGACACGGUCCAGACUCCUACGGGAGGCAGCAGUGGGGAAUAUUGGACAAUGGGCGCAAGCCUGAUCCAGCCAUACCGCGUGGGUGAAGAAGGCCUUCGGGUUGUAAAGCCCUUUUGUUGGGAAAGAAAAGCAGCAGGUUAAUACCCCGCUGUUCUGACGGUACCCAAAGAAUAAGCACCGGCUAACUUCGUG